rnacentral:rRNA from 1 species
GACGAACGCUGGCGGCGUGCUUAACACAUGCAAGUCGAACGGAAAGGCCUCAGCUUGCUGGGGUACUCGAGUGGCGAACGGGUGAGUAACACGUGGGUGAUCUGCCUUGCACUCUGGGAUAAGCUGGGGAAACUGGGUCUAAUACCGGAUAUGAACUGCCUUUAGUGUGGUGGUUGGAAAGUUUUUUCGGUGCAAGAUGAGCUCGCGGCCUAUCAGCUUGUUGGUGGGGUAAUGGCCUACCAAGGCGUCGACGGGUAGCCGGCCUGAGAGGGUGUACGGCCACAUUGGGACUGAGAUACGGCCCAGACUCCUACGGGAGGCAGCAGUGGGGAAUAUUGCACAAUGGGCGGAAGCCUGAUGCAGCGACGCCGCGUGGGGGAUGACGGCCUUCGGGUUGUAAACUCCUUUCGACAGGGACGAAGCUUUUUGUGACGGUACCUGUAGAAGAAGCACCGGCUAACUACGUG